AUAAAAGCAAAACUAAUUCAUUACAGACCAACAGGGUUUUAAUACAGAGCCGUUAUAAAUAAACAGGGCUAUUAUGAACAAAACAGGGUUAUUGUGAAAUUAUUAUGGAUUUUCAAUUCAAAUACAUUUUAGUAUAUCACAACUCAUCUUGUAUGAAUUUGUUUAAUUCUAAGUUUGAAAAUCCAGAAUGAAAUCUUGUAUUUUGUAAGUGAUGAGUUCUUUGAAUAGGACAACAAUAAAACUAUAUUUACAUUUUCAUGUUAUAAUUGAUUACCAAUGUGAGCGACACAUGUACUUUAGAGCCACUAGUUUUCUAAAUUCAUCAAGAGACUAUACCAUUCAGUAUAUAAUUUUUAAAGUAAUAAGAGAUGCAUCUUUAGUUCCUUGUGAACCAUCUCAAAUAAGUGUUGCCUCAUCAGCAUAUUGUAAUUUCAAAAAUUCUGAAUCUUCAAUGCAAACUUUUUUACAUAAACAAAUUGCACACUUUUUUACAUAAACAAUUAUUUAUAUCUAUUUAUGUAUCAUUUUAUUUUAAUCAACAUCAAAAUGGUUUCUUUUUGAACAUGUCUUAUAGGUCUGCAUAAAGAGUCCUAACUUCUAUGUAAGUCAGAAUAGAGAUAUUUCAUAUCAGAUAUUAAAGGUUUCUUUGAGAUUUAUACAUGACUUUUGUGUAUUGCAUAAUUUGUUAAACAAUUAAUCACCGUUUAUUCCUCUGCUUACAAUUUUAUGCAAACAAUGUAAUGGUGCUAUAAUUUUCAAUAAACUGACUGCACUGUAUUAUUUUAUAAAUAAGUACAUUUUAGUUUGACGGCAAUUUGAGGCACUGCCCCCUAGUCACUUUAAAUUUAAUUUUCAAUUUUCAAUGUUAUGUUUUCUGCUUAAGUUAGUGUGAUAGGAUCUAAUUGUGAUUAUAGAUCAAUGAUAUUUUGUAUGAUAUGUCAUUACUAUCACAUAAUCAGUACAUAUAUGUUUGACAACUAUUUUGAGGUCCUGGCCCCUAGGACAUGGUCCAGUGACUUAAAAAGCAAUAUUCAAUGUUAAGUUUUCUGCUUAAAAAUGUUUGUAUCUUUUGACUCUCUUUUUUUCCUGACAUUCUAUAAAUAAUCUGAAUGUUGGGUGACCAUUUGUGGGUAAUAGACUUGAAUUCUAAGAAAUCAGAAAAUAUAGGUAUGUCUUGGAAAGAGUAUAAAGCAUAUCUUUUGAUCUUACUUUUUAAAAUUUCUGUGAUUUAUGUUCACUUAGUUUAUUGACAUUCUUUGUUGUAACUUUAUCUAUUUAUGUUUUAUUUUAUUUAUUUAUUCUCUCUAUUUUGUUCAGUGUCUUUCUUUAUGUUGAUUGUGUAAAUUUAUCUGUUUUGUAGUAUAAUGUUUAGCUAAAUAUCAUGAUAGCAUGAAAUUCUUCACAUUCCAAAGAAUUAUACAAAAUUCCAUCUCAGAAAAAAAACAUGUUUGCCAUUUUGCCAUAUCAAUGUAGACAAUUUUACACUGGGAAUACUAAUUACAACUCCAAUGAACUCGGUGCACAAAAUUUUGCUUAAAAAUUAACCCUCUUUUUGAUUUCAAUAAAAUUGUCAAUUUACUUGUUCCAAAAUUGACAGCAAAUUUAAUGAGUUGUUAUACCAGCACCUGUUAAAAAUGUAGAUGAAGGAUUUUUCCUUUGACAUAAAAGUUAUUCUCCAUCACUCCUUGAGUUGUAUACUAAUGUACAACCAUUAAAGAUCUCAUACAUCAGUGGCGGAUCCAGAACUUUUCAUAAGGGGGGGCCCUCUGGUUGACCUAAGGGAGGGGCCGCUCCAGUCAUGCUUCAGUGAUUCCCUAUAUAAUCAACCAAAUUUUUCCCACGAAAGCAACCCCCCCCCCCCCCUGGAUCCGCCUAUGAUACUUCAUAUCUUAUUGUUCAAAGUGGCAUUCUUAUUUUUAAUGGCACCCCUUGACAACUUUUCUCCAUCUGUUUAGAUAAGCUAUAUUACUCCAAACAAAUAUGCAAAAUAAUGUUGAUGCAUAUAUGGUGUGUGUAAAUUUUGUGGUUAUUAUUGUUACGUUCAUACUUCAUAUAACAUUUUUUAUAGAUUUAUUUAAUGAAGAUAAUCAAGAAAAUAUUGUUGCAUAUUUAUUUAUAGUUUAUAAAUGUAUUUAUCACAUAAUAAAAAAAUAUUUUUAUACUUCAUAAUUUUACAAUUAAU
rnacentral:lncRNA from 1 species